CCAUGCCUACAUCAUAACAUUAAUGCAUCGGAUCCCAUUAGAACUCCGCAAUUAAGCACGCCCAGGCUAGAGUAGUACUGGGAUGGGUGAUCGCUUGGGAAGUUAUAGUGUUUUACAUGCC
rnacentral:rRNA from 1 species